rnacentral:rRNA from 1 species
AUGAACUUCUUUGAAGGGGUCAAAGCAAAGAAACAUCCACCUCCGGAGGAGAAGGUAGAUUCGGUGAAAGCAAAGCGCACUCUGGCUGCCCUGACAAAACCACCAAAGUCUCUGCCAAAAGGCAACUAUGAGCGCGUUCUUGCAAAGGCAUAUGCCGAAGCGGAGCGGUCGGGAAGUACUGUCAGUGAUAAAUGGAUGAAAGAACGACGAGCUGGGAAAAAAAUUGCCCAGCUCGGCGAACAAGAGAACCAAUCGUGCCCCCCGCUCAAGGUGUCAAAAGACAUCGUCGCUAAUGAUCCGGGUAUGGUGCCCGGUUAUACUGAUCUUGGAGAUUACCUGCCCGACGAUGUACAUUAUGAAAUCAUGGAGGUGGACGAACACAAAUACCAUUACGGGAAGCCUCUCGUCAAAGAUGUCAAAUCUCUAAGCACGAUGAUGCGAAGACUACAUGAUUGGUACAUGAAGACCUGCAGAGAGUCUGAUGGGAUGAGUACUUUAACGCUGAGAGUUAAACCGGAGCAUGACCUCGUUGGAAUUGAACUGCUGAAUGUUCCAUUUGAGGAUUUCUUCUAG